rfam:Gossypium raimondii Chr13_contig_474, whole genome shotgun sequence.
AAGCCAUACAUCGGCCAUUUUCUAACUAAUUCCUUGAAGUGCUCCCAUGCUUCGUAUAAUGUAUCAUCUUUAGAUUGCCUGAACAAUGUGAUGUCAUUCCUCAGCUU